rnacentral:misc_RNA from 1 species
GAUGAAGAACGCAGCGAAAUGCGAUACGUAAUGUGAAUUGCAAAUUCAGUGAAUCAUCGAGUCUUUGAACGCACAUUGCGCCCCCUGGUAUUCCGGGGGAUAUGCCUGUCCGAGCGUCAUUGCUGCCCUCAAGCACGGCUUGUGUGUUGGGCCCCGUCCUCCGAUCCCGGGGGACGGGCCCGAAAGGCAGCGGCGGCACCGCGUCCGGUCCUCGAGCGUAUGGGGCUUUGUCACCCGCUCUGUAGGCCCGGCCGGCGCUUGCCGAUCAACCCAAAUUUUUAUCCAGGUUGACCUCGGAUCAGGUAGGGAUACCCGCUGAACUUAAGCAUAUCAAUAAGCGGAGGA